GUGCUUGCUUCAGCAGCACAUAUACUAAAAUUAGAACGAUAUGGGGAUUAGCAUGGCUCCUGCACAAGGAUGAUAUGCAAAUUCAUGAAGCAUUCCAUAUCUUU
rnacentral:snRNA from 1 species